UACGGAGGAUGCAAGCGUUAUCCGGAAUCAUUGGGUUUAAAGGGUCCGUAGGCGGUUUAAUAAGUCAGUGGUGAAAGCCCAUCGCUCAACGAUGGAACGGCCAUUGAUACUGUUAAACUUGAAUUAUUAGGAAGUAACUAGAAUAUGUAGUGUAGCGGUGAAAUGCUUAGAGAUUACAUGGAAUACCAAUUGCGAAGGCAGGUUACUACUAAUUGAUUGACGCUGAUGGACGAAAGCGUGGGGAGCGAACAGG
rnacentral:rRNA from 1 species